rnacentral:rRNA from 1 species
AUAUUGGACAAUGGUCGCAAGCCUGAUCCAGCCAUACCUCGUGGUUUAAGAAGCCCUUCGGGUUGUCAAGCACUGUUGUUGGAAAGAAAUCCAGCUGGUUAAUACCAGUUUGGGAUGACGGUACCCAAAGAAUAAGCACCGGCUAACUUCGUUCCUGUAGCCGCGGUAAUACGAAGGGUGCAAGCGUUACUCGGAAUUACUGGGCGUAAAGGGUGCGUAGGUGGUCGUUUAAGUCCGUUGUGAAAGCCCUGGGCUCAACCUGGGAACUGCAGUGGAUACUGGGCGACUAGAAUGUGGUAGAGGGUAGCGGAAUUCCUGGUGUAGCAGUGAAAUGCGUAGAGAUCAGGAGGAACAUCCAUGGCGAAGGCAGCCACCUGGACCAACAUUGACACUGAGGCACGAAAGCGUGGGGAGCAAACAGG